GACGAAAUCAUCAUCAUCAUCUUCUUCUUCAAUUUCUUCAGUCACCGAAAAUACCAUGGUUUUUCAUGCUUAAGGUUCGGCCAAGGGUUAUGAGUGAGUAUAUCAAGAAGCAAGUCCAUCGAUCGUUAAUUAGGGAAAAGAGAAGGUAGUCAAAUAGGCGUCGUCGCGUGUCUGAAAUUUAUCGCAUCUCGGUUUGUUGGAAUCGUGACGUCGAUUGGAUAAGCUCAAGAGAUCACACAAUAUCUACUCUAUUGUUGGUAGUCAUUUUGUUCAUUUUGGGUCAGUUUGAAGUGGCAUGUAACUAGGCAUCCUUGUUUAUAUACAUAUACCUAUAGGCUUUAGUUGAUAAAUAACUUCAGUUGAAUUAGUAGCUUAUAAAUGUUAUUUUGGAUAUUUGGUUCAUGUAGUGUUUUUAUGAUGGAUAUAUGUGGUUAACAUUAAGUAUCAUAUUGAGAUGGAAAUGGUCUUUUAUGUGUAUCGGUAUGAAAGUGAUGUUUAUUGAAUAGAUGAAAAGGAUUUGGUA